rnacentral:misc_RNA from 1 species
GCAAACUUGGUCAUUUAGAGGAAGUAAAAGUCGUAACAAGGUUUCCGUAGGUGAACCUGCGGAAGGAUCAUUAACGAAUGUACUCCCGGGGGGUUGUGCUGGCGCUCUCGGGCGCAUGUGCACGCCUGCCGAGGUAUGUCUCCUCACACCUGUGCACGAAGCCCGUCGGACGUUCAAGGUGGCUCGCGCCUCCUGUCCGACGCUUUCACACCAGCUUAGAAUGUACGUCGAAUGCUUAUUGCGCACGCGCAACCUAAAUACAACUUUUAACAACGGAUCUCUUGGUUCUCGCAUCGAUGAAGAACGCAGC